rnacentral:lncRNA from 1 species
GCUUUCCAUUAUGGGUGGAAAAUUAUAAAGAUGAACCGUGCAUGGGCAUUCUAUUGAGCACCUUGACCAUGCACCUAUGGCCAUUUUGCGAUUUAGGGUGUCAUCCUAUACUUAUAGAUUUUCUACGUGAUAUACUGGUACUUUACCAGUAAGUACAUAAAAUUCUAUCCGAGUGAUCGGAUGGCGUACUACCCCCUCUCCUGUAGCUAGAUACAUCCCUGUGAAAUAAAACUCAUCGAAAGAUUUUGGAAAUCUUUCCAUGCAAGUAUUUGCAUAGCUUAUACGUUAAAAUCACUGUUCUAAAUGAUAUGGGCAUUUCUUUAGAGAAACCUAGUGGUGAGUUACAUUAAAAGAUAGAUGGAAGAAGUGAUAAGUUAAUUGAUUUUUUUGCCGUACUGUGAUAAGCUGAUUGAUGACUAUCCAAAUUUAGAAUCCUCUAUUGAUAACAUUGACGAAAUGGGCGGUUUUUCUUGGGCAGACUGAAUAAUUAAUAAAAUAAAAGAGAGAAUUUGAUCCCAUGAAUGAGUUAUGGAAAUUCUCAAAAUGGAGUUACAAGUUAGGCCAAGAAGUGUCCAAAAUGCGAAUUUUGGGAGCAAUCUAUGAACCCUAAUUGGCAGAAGAGAAUUGGGGAAGAGAGUUUAGGGCGAGAAAUAUUUCAUGAAAGAAAAAUGUUUCCA